rnacentral:rRNA from 1 species
GAUGAACGCUGGCGGCGUGCCUAAUACAUGCAAGUCGAGCUAACGGACGAGAAGCUUGCUUCUCUGAUGUUAGCGGCGGACGGGUGAUUAACACGUGGAUAACCUACCUAUUAGACUGGGAUAACUUCGGGAAACCGUAUCUAAUACCGGCUAAGAUUUUUAACCGCAUGGUUCAAAAGUGAAAGACGGUCUUGCUUUCACUUAUAGAUUUAGCCGCGCUGCAUUAGCUAGUUGGUAAGGUAGCGGCUUACCAAGGCAACGAUGCAUAGCCGACCUGAGAGGGUGAUCGGCCACACUGGAAGUGAGACACGGUCCAGACUCCUACGGGAGGCAGCAGUAGGGAAUCUUCAGCAAUGGGCGAAAGCCUGACGGAGAAACGCCGCGUGAGUGAUGAAGGUAUUCGGAUCGUAAAACUCUGUUAUUAGGGAAGAACAUAUGUGUAAGUAACUGUGAACAUCUUGACGGUACCUAAUCAGAAAGCCACGGCUAACUACGUG